UAAGAGGCUCCAUUGCCUGCGCCCAGUUACCACUUUAGGUCUAGAGACCUAUCCGCGGGAACAAUGCUGGCAUUAUUCCACCUUAACAGAGGUCACUAUAGCGGAUAUGUUUACUCAUUCUCAUUUACAGUUGGAGUUAUUGACUGCUGACGUUAACACAUGGGUUCCUUGCACCCCAGAUCAUCUAACAUUUGGUUUCGAGGACGAUUUUCUGAC
rnacentral:lncRNA from 1 species